UGGUCAACGCUCGUCUUUUAUUCAAAGUUGUCCUAUCUUCAAGCAAAGUUAACUCUAUGGUUGUUGCCAUCUAUGGUGGUAAUUAUAACUUGGCCUACUGCAAACUCGGAGAUAAAAAAAGUGGUUAUCCAUUUCCAAAACAGGAUACCACGAUACCAUCUGUUAUCACUACCAGAAGAAACGCCCUUUAGUGGCAAUUAAUUGAAUAUCGGUAACUUUCCUUUUGUUCAACUAUUAGCGGCAUUUGGAGAUUAGCUGGGAAUAAAGACCUUUUCACUGGUUAUUGAAGAGAAUAGCCACAAAAAGUUGAUACUGAAUGCAAAUUAUUGAAAGUGAAUUUUUCCUAAUUUUACCUUCCCUCCCUCUCUUCAUUUCUCUCCUUGUAAACCUGAAAUCCUAUCGCCUGUUUUCCGAUUUUUCAGUGUACCUGCAAUGGUUUCAUUGGGGAUUUCGGAUUUGUGGUGGAUUUUAGAUAUUCUGGAUAGGAAUGAUAUGGAAAAGGAAAGACAAGUAAGCUUGUUUGAUGCGGUGGAUGACUCAUCAGCAUUGGCGAAGAAAGCCCAUGGAAGCUUAAAUGGUGGAAACAACAUGACGCCUGAUGUUUGAUCAACAAGUGGUACGAAAAACCUUCUCACAGAGAUUCUAUGAAUUUUGGAGAAGAGGAAGACUCUUCUGGUAUGGCAUCAAAAAGAGGAGUUCUCAAGAUGAUUAAUAUCCAAUCAUUGGCAAUGCCUUCUCUGUCACCGGCUUUUUUCACCAGAAAAUUGCUGAGUUAACUCGCUCACAUGGGUCUCUUGUACUGGUAGAUAACAGUAUUAUGUCCCAUAUACCAUCCCAUCGUUUGGACAUUGGAGCAGGUCUGCAGAUACUUUUAGUUCUGGUAAAAUUCUCAAGGUGCUGCCGUGCUGGUUACCUUAAAUGGUCUGUUAUUUUCAGAUAUUGUGAUGCAUUCAGCAGCUAAGUUUAUAUCUGCCCAUAGUGAUCUGAUGGAGGGUGUACUUAUUGUCACAAGGGAAAGGGUUUUUCCUCUUUAUUUGGUUUCAUGGAUUAAUUUACGCUUAUCGCAUGAUUUCUCAUCAUCCUUGGUGCCCUUGAGUUGCUUUCAUGGCCAAAGCUAUCAGAUUACCCUGAUUGAACGAAAAAAGAAAAACCACCUCUUAGUAAUAAGCUCCUUUAAAGUGUCAAAAAAAUAAGCUCCUUUAGUAGAUUCAAUUACCUGAAGUCUCAAAUACUAAAUAUCUGUUGCAUAACUGGUCUAUCGGGAAAUUAUUACCUCAAUGGAACUAUAGAAAUAUCUAAACAAUAGUAGUUUGGAGUGCAAAGUUCAUAUUUACUUAGAAACAGAUAGAGUACGUGCUAAUGUUAUUCUAAAACAUAUUCUAUAUCUUUUUAAAGGUGGCAAAUUAUGUAAUCUUCUUGUUAGGUCAUUUCUCUGAAUAGAUUCAAUCACCUGAAGAUUCUCAGGAAUUUUAACCCAACAUAUACAAGCAAGUAAAUUCACAUUUUGUCAACGGAUCUGUUUAUAUAUUGUGGUAUCGAGUUAAUGUAUUGCCUGUCUGAAGUUGGGACGUCACACAUUUGACAUUUGUAACCUGGGGGUUGUGAAAGUCUAAAUUGCAGUCCUUUUACUAGGCUGAAGCUGCAUAUGAUAAGUUCCCCUUAUGCAGGCAUAACUUACUUUUUCUAAAGACGGUGCCUGCCCCUUUUACUGAAUGUGAAGUUUAAGAUUAGCUCACUUACUUGACCUGAUAUUCAAAUUAUAUAUAUUGACUUGUAAAAAUCAGCUUGGCAAAGAACGUGUACUAACUUCAGAAUGCAGAAAGUGCAGGCUUAGCCCCAUUUGAUUGCUGGCUUUGUUUAAGAAGGAUUAUAAUGAUGGUGUCGUGUGUAGAAAAGCAAUAGAUGGCAAGAAAAUGCACAAAAAAUUGCUCCUUGAGUGAAGAUGGUUAACUGUGCUGGUUUUCCCGGCCAUCCUGACAGAUAUUUUCACUAUUCGAAGGAUCAGAAUUGAGUUCAUGUAGUUGAGGUCACCAAAUACUUCAACAUUUCAGUCAGUUUCGUACGUGAGGCUAGAGAUCUUACUGAGGAUGCAUGUAGUUCAAAUUUCUGUUGGAAUUGAAGACAUAAAUGAUGACCUAAACGCUGCGCUUAGAACUAAGCCAGUAUAGAAUAUAGAUCGUUACCUGCCACACGUCUAAACAAGGAUAAUUGGCUCAAGGUCACGCAAAGAUAGCUGCCAAGAAUAUCAGCUUGUUAAGGAAGGGGAGCAGAAGAUGAAGAAUAUAAAAACCAUCACAUUGUUAAAGAGGAACCUGGGCUACAACAUGAUAUCAGUUUAGUUGUCUUCAAUUUGAUAGUUCUUGUAUUAAGUGAGUUUCAUGAUUCUAGUAAGAAUUUUCCAACCCUAUGUUCAAAUACG